AGUAUUCCUGAUGACUAUGAAGAAUAACCGUGAGACACUUGAGCACACUAAUGAAUUUUUUAAUGACAUCAUUCCAAGUGUGCACGCUUUGUUGCAAUCUGAGAGAAAUCAGAAUAUCAAGAAUCGGGGCUUCCUGAGUUACCAUAAUUUGAUGCUUGAGCCCUUUUGGUCAUUGGGUGAUUUGAGCCCCUCAACCUUCCAUGCUGUUCACUGCUGUUUCAAGCAGGAACACCACAGUACCUCUUUUAGGUAGGAGUGAGGCAGAAUUUGUUUUCAUAACCCUGGCUUAAUUUUUUAUAUCAUUCAGUGCUGCCAGGAGAGAGCACUAGAGGUUUCUUGCCAUGUUGAACAGUUGUGUUCCACUUAAUUCAGAGAAUUUUGAAAGUGAAUCUGGUGACAAUAUUUCUCUUCUGUAAAGAAAAACCAUUCAUUGAGCUGCUUGGCUUGAAAGAUUUUACACUUUCUUCACUUUUUCAUUGUCAUCCAGUCACAGUUCCAUUGUCUCGAAACCAAGAUAGUUGCUCUGAAACACUGACACCUUCCACCGUUCUCUUCAUCCUUUAUUUCUGUAUGUGUCUGGCUUUUCUCUUUGGCCCAAACUGGAUCGACUGUUUUUAAUGAUACAGGGACUGACUGUGGGGUAUGCUCUGUUGAAAAUGCUUCUUUGUGACACAUUGUCCAGUGUUUGUUUGGAAAGCCUAGCACACAUUUUGUUUCUAUAUUAUUUGCAAAUCAGGGAAAGGAAAAAUCUACAAAGAACUUGAAAGGUGCUAUUUUAGUAAACACUUCAGAAGUUUCAGAAGUAAAUUCCCUCUAUUUCCUACAGGAUUUCCAUUGUACACUUUAGCUUUGAAGAAAAACAAAUCUUUCAUGUCUUAGAAUAUUCGAUUUAUAUGUUAUCUACUGAGUGAUCUUCUUUUUGGGAAGAAGUCAUGAAUGAGAAUGUUUUGCUCAGGUUCACCUCUCCCUUAAUGAAGUUGAUACCAGCGAAGUGAAAUCGAAGUUUGAAAAACAGCCUCUGCAGAAAGAAAAUUCUCAGCUUAAGAUUCCAAAGAAUCAGGCAGCAAAAGGGAACUGGGGGACUACUGUGACGCACUUAGGUGUGUGAAAGGGGCAAAGGACGCCAAAUGGGACACGCUGAAGAAAAAUGUAGAUGUUCGUGUUGGAAUGUGUGGACAAAGACAGAAGCUCACAGAAGAGAAGCUGGGACUGAAAGAAUGGGAGCAGGUGGAAGGGGAGAAGCAGCUGUCAGCCACAGAGGAGAAAGUGAAAUUCACUGCAGAAGAGCUUCGGAACUACAAGUGAGUUCAGCUCCUACCAGCAGCUCACACAACAGCCAUUGUAUUACUUUGAAACUUUGUACAGUGUUUAGAGCCAAGUAACACACAAAUAUACACAUUCAGGAGACAUUCAUUUCUAUGGAGACUUCAAGAGAGAUGUGACAUUUUCCAGAUGUUAAGUUAAAAAUAUUAAUCUAAACAAGUUAAGUCACUGAGGAUUUCCUGAUCCGCAAUGCUGGCCAGACUAUGUGGAAAUGUGGUUCCUGAACAUGUUUCUGGAGGUGCUGGAAAUGAUUACAAACCUCAGGAAGCAGUUUGGUGGAGGAUGAAUCACAUUGACAAGUAUGACCAUCCCAUUUUAGAGACCCACUUGUUGUAACCAUGAGAACUAUGAUAAGGGUACAAGGAAAAGAGAUUUGAACUUUACAAUGAAAGAUCCUCAUUAUAGAAUUAGGGAGCUGUCACCACAGGUAAGGAGACCGUGUCAAUGUGGAGCCCCACAGGCAUUAAAUAAUAAAUCCAAGAUGAUGUAGCGAUGGCUUUGAGCUUUCUGUACUCUCCUCCUCAUGUGAAAUGUGUCUUAUAUGAUUGGGUCGUGUGUAUGAGAAUUCAGUUCUUGUGAUGGGAACCUGGGCCAAUUAACAUCACGCUCAACAUGGUGCUUCAUCUGAUGAUAGCCAUUGCACGCCCAGGAGAAGAGUAGAAGAAACACAAGAACAGCUGCAGCAGUCAGAGCUCACCUUCGGACACCAGGUAGCCCGCACUCUGCCUAGCAGUUCCUGAGUGCUUCAGCACCUAACGCAGAUGAUUAUAUCGGGACACUGAAUGUCUCCACAGGGGUUUUAUUGAUGUGCUGACUCUUUCAGACUGCUCUUUGUGAGAAGGCAUUUCAGGACAGCUGGGUAAGAAUGUUUUUCUCUCCUCCUCUUGUGCGCACACUGCCACAGCUAAACAUGGAUGUGUUUCUCUCUUGAGCUCGGGGCUCAUGAUCUGGAGAGGGCAGUGGCGGAGCAGAGCAGGGAGGUCACCUACCUGAAACGCAGGUACAGGAUUUUGACAUAUU